GACGAACGCUGGCGGCGUGCUUAACACAUGCAAGUCGAACGGCAAGGCCCUGCUUUCGUGGGGUGCUCGAGUGGCGAACGGGUGAGUAACACGUGAGUAACCUGCUCUUGAUUUUGGGAUAACUUCAGGUAACUGGGGCUAAUACCGGAUCGGAGCUCCUGCUGCAUGGUGGGGGUUGGAUAGUUUCGGCGGUUGGGGAUGGACUCGCGGCUUAUCAGCUUGUUGGUGGGGUAGUGGCUUACCAAGGCUUUGACGGGUAGCCGGCCUGAGAGGGUGACCGGCCACAUUGGGACUGAGAUACGGCCCAGACUCCUACGGGAGGCAGCAGUGGGGAAUAUUGCACAAUGGGCGGAAGCCUGAUGCAGCAACGCCGCGUGCGGGAUGACGGCCUUCGGGUUGUAAACCGCUUUCGCCUGUGACGAAGCGUGAGUGACGGUAAUGGGUAAAGAAGCACCGGCUAACUACGUG
rnacentral:rRNA from 1 species